rnacentral:rRNA from 1 species
UGGGGAACCUGCCCCAUAGUCUGGGAUACCAUUUGGAAACAGGUGCUAAUACCGGAUAAGAAAGCGGAUCGCAUGAUCAGCUUUUAAAAGGCGGCGUAAGCUGUCGCUAUGGGAUGGCCCCGCGGUGCAUUAGCUAGUUGGUAAGGUAAAGGCUUACCAAGGCGAUGAUGCAUAGCCGAGUUGAGAGACUGAUCGGCCACAUUGGGACUGAGACACGGCCCAAACUCCUACGGGAGGCAGCAGUA